rnacentral:rRNA from 1 species
UACGGAGGAUCCGAGCGCUAUCCGGAUUUAUUGGGUUUAAAGGGAGCGUAGGUGGAUUGUUAAGUCAGUUGUGAAAGUUUGCGGCUCAACCGUAAAAUUGCAGUUGAAACUGGCAGUCUUGAGUACAGUAGAGGUGGGCGGAAUUCGUGGUGUAGCGGUGAAAUGCUUAGAUAUCACGAAGAACUCCGAUUGCGAAGGCAGCUCACUGGACUGCAACUGACAUUGAGGCUCGAAAGUGUGGGUAUCAAACAGG